AUGAACGCUGGCGGCGUGCCUAAUACCUGCAAGUCGCGCGCACGGACGAGAAGCUUGCUUCUCUGAUGUUAGCGGCGGACGGGUGAGUAACACGUGGAUAACCUACCUAUAAGACUGGGAUAACUUCGGGAAACCGGAGCUAAUACCGGAUAAUAUUUUGAACCGCAUGGUUCAAAAGUGAAAGACGGUCUUGCUGUCACUUAUAGAUGGAUCCGCGCUGCAUUAGCUAGUUGGUAAGGUAACGGCUUACCAAGGCAACGAUGCAUAGCCGACCUGAGAGGGUGAUCGGCCACACUGGAACUGAGACACGGUCCAGACUCCUACGGGAGGCAGCAGUAGGGAAUCUUCCGCAAUGGGCGAAAGCCUGACGGAGCAACGCCGCGUGAGUGAUGAAGGUCUUCGGAUCGUAAAACUCUGUUAUUAGGGAAGAACAUAUGUGUAAGUAACUGUGCACAUCUUGGCGGUACCUAAUCAGAAAGCCACGGCUAACUACGUG
rnacentral:rRNA from 1 species